UAUUUUUCCUAGGCAGCCGCAACCAUAGUAAAUGAAUGAGGUCGGGCUUUAUUUAGUCCUGUGAUCCACAACUCUACACACCUCAAACAGCAGUAAAGCUAAUCCUGCAGCCAUCUUGGACCCCAAAGUGGAAGCUAAACUUAUACCCAAUCCAGAUAAAGCUGAGGACUCUGAGAAAGUGGUGGGGAUAAGCUGCUCAGCAACAGGGAAACCAGCUCCAAAAAUAACCUGGCACCUUCCCAGCAUCCUGCAGCAGAAGCCAAGGGAAUAUCACAUCAAGUUCAGCAACCAGACCGUGACUGUCAUCAGCAAUUUCACCCACACUCCUUCCAAAAUCCUCCAUAAGUACCCCAUCGCCUGUGUGAUCCAACACCCUUCUCUAAAUGUGACCCUGGUCCUGCCCACGGACAGCCUGGAGCAAGGUCCGGACAGCACCGUGGCACCCACUACUGCCAUUGCAGUGGGAGUACUGGUCCCCUUGACUUCCCUCCUCCUUCUCACCUGUCUCCUCUGCCACUGCCUCAGGCACUCACGUGACCCAGAGAGAAACCCAGCCUGGCCAUGCUGGGUAGGUCUACCUUUCCCCAGGGUGCAGCAGGGCUCAACCCCACCGUCACAGGGCUCAGUACCAUGAUCGAGCUCUGCCCAGCC
rnacentral:lncRNA from 1 species